CAGAGACAAUGUUGCAUCUGAGACCGUCUCUCCCUGUCCUCUAUAUGAAUUUUGAGUCUUUCAGAGUGGAAGACACUGUAAUUGACAUUCACCAAGUCACCUGAAUGCAAUAAACACAGUGGAAAUCCCUUGGUUAUGUCUGUGCCUGAGAGCUGGAAGAACCUGGGCUCCAAACCCACUGAAGCUUUCCUGAAAAUACCACGUGCCCACAUGGAUUACUUUCUUAGAGGACCAAACAAGAACUUACAAGAGAAGUGAAGACAUAUUCUUCAAACGUUUAAAAUGAGCUCUACACAUGGCAGAAGGCAUGUCUUGGAGGAUAAGAAACAAAGGACUAAAUAUAAAAUGACAGAAUAGCUUAGGUUGGAAAGGUCCUUAGAGAUCAUCUGUUUCCAACUACUCUGCUGUGGGUAGGGAAAAUUUCCGCUAGAUCUCAUUGCUCAAAGCCACAUCCAACCUGGCCUUGAAAUAUGCAAAGUGUUGUGUCUAU
ensembl:lncRNA